AUUGAACGCUGGCGGCAUGCUUUACACAUGCAAGUCGAGCGGCAGCGCGGGGCAACCUGGCGGCGAGCGGCGAACGGGUGAGUAACACAUCGGAACGUAUCUUCAAGGUGGGGGAUAACCUAUCGAAAGGUAGGCUAAUACCGCAUAAGCAAGGGAUUGGAAAGGCGGGGAGUUCGCGAGGACCUCGCGCUUUUGGAGCGGCCGAUGUCGGAUUAGGUAGUUGGUGGGGUAAAGGCUCACCAAGCCUGCGAUCCGUAGCGGGUCUGAGAGGAUGAUCCGCCACACUGGGACUGAGACACGGCCCAGACUCCUACGGGA
rnacentral:rRNA from 1 species